rnacentral:rRNA from 1 species
GACCUCAAAUCAGGUAGGAACACCCGCUGAACUUAAGCAUAUCAAUAAGCGGAGGAAAAGAAAAUAACAAUGAUUCCCCUAGUAACUGCGAGUGAAGAGGGACAAGCUCAAAUUUUAAAUCCAUCGGGUUUUACCCGAUCGAGUUGUAAUUUGAAGAAGCGUUUUCUGCGUAUUUGAUCAGCCUAAGUCCUAUUGAAUGAGGCAUCAUGGAGGGUGAUAAUCCCGUCCGGUUGAUCAUUUGCGUUUUACGAUACGCUUUCUAAGAGUCAAGUUGUUUGGGAUUGCAGCUUAAAAUGGGAGGUAAAUUUCUCCUAAGGCUAAAUAACGGCGAGAGACCGAUAGCGAACAAGUACCGUGAGGGAAAGAUGAAAAGAACUUUGAAAAGAGAGUUAAACAGUACGUGAAAUUGUUGAAAGGGAAACGAUUGAAGCCAGUCGAACCUUCGGGUAAUCAGCCUUUCGGGUGCGAUUCUGUGGGGUUUGAGGAGCUUAACACCUUCAUGCUUUGCAUAUUCGUGCUCUUGGGUGUACUUGCCCGUAUGGUUGGUUAACAUCAAUUUUGGUGGUCAUAAAAUGACUGGAGGAAUGUAGCUUCGAUCUCGUAUUGAAGUGUUAUAGCCUUCGGUAGAUGUGAUGAUCGAGAUUGAGGAUUGCAACGGAUACCCUUCGGGGCUACCUGUCUGAUCUCUGAUCGUUGCUCUGGUGCCGAAAGCUUGCUUACGGUUAUCAAAGUCGAUGGUCAAUAGGUUAGAACGGGUUAAAUUCGUUAAGGAUGUUGACGUAAUGGCUUUAAACGACCCGUCUUGAAACACGGACCAAGGAGUCUAACAUAUAUGCGAGUGUUU